UUUCUUGGAUCAGUCGCUUUGGAGGAAGCCAGCUGCCAUGUUUUGAGGACACUAAGGCACUUUAUGGAGAGGCCCACGUGUAAAUCCUUCUCCUCCCAGAAGCAUUUAAAAAUCCACAAACCAUGGCUAACUUCCUGUGAAAUGGCUUAGUGGGCAAAAAUUCAGAAUAAGGGGAGUGUGAGUCCAUGUCUCCUUUCCAGAGAUGAAGAAGUUUGUCUUUUCUGUGCAUGAAGAAGACAAUGGGAUAUGGAUGACACUAAACCUUUGAAAGUUCCUGCUAACCUCCAGGUGGAAGGAAAAGGCCCACGGUGAUCAAUAAAUGUGUUUGCUAUUUUUUGGGUGAAAGGAAGAGAGCCUGCACCUCUGUUGGGUUCUUGUUCUAGGUGCUGGUGAUAGAACUGUGAACCAAAGGUCAUUGCCUUCAAGGAGUUUAUAUUCAAGUGGAGAAGAUGGAAAACCCUCCCCUCACGA